CUAUGAUGACUCUAGAUGACGAGUCUUAUCCGGGCUUCCCGAUGCAGACAACCUUUUAAACUACCAUUCAUGCUUUUCUGAUA
rnacentral:snoRNA from 1 species